AAUCCAACGCGAAUUCCCUAAAACUGUUCUCUCUCUCUAUUCUGACCGAACUCCUAAUUCUCAAACUGUCAAAGAACUCUUCAAGGCGGCACCGCUACGAAACCUUCAAGCUUCUUGCUGCUGAUCAAGAACGAGGGCAAAAUCAACAACGAUUCUCCGCCGAGGCUUUGAAAGAAGAGGCAGAGGACAGGAGAGAACAAGGAGGUGAUCUGUAGUUUUCUAUUGCAGUUUCUUAGGGAGGUAAUUAGAGAAGAAGAUGCACGUGAUGUGAAUGCUGAGCAAUUUAGUGGGAAUAAUCAAGAUAUGGAAUUGGAAAGAGAGGAGAUGAUUGGAGAUAGUAUAUAUGGAGACAGACUUUGAUAAAGAUGGACUGACAGGAAGAGAUGGACCGGAAGAUGCACCCCUUGAUGAAUUGAUGGUGCCCUUGUGAAUAUGGAUGUGGAUCUUGAUAAUCCUGGAAUUGAGCUCUUCCCCUGUUAGUUCUAUAUUUUUGCCAGAGAUGAUGCAAGGAUGAAACUGCAUUAUAGGGUGUGCACCAACCUCUCACAAAAGGGGCGGUUUAUGUUGCCAUUGUGGCUCUGUUUGAAUUCAUGUUCAUAAAAUCUGUUUGUGCACCGACCUUCUUUGUCAACCCUGAAAUCGUUUGUGUCAGUUAAUAAGCCCAUAAAUAUAAGUGAGCAUUUGAAGCAAUACAACAAACUUUCAGUUGAACGUUGUGGGGCGAAAAUAUGAUACCCAAAAUGGACAAACAAAAUGAAAUAAAAUUGACAUAUUAAAAUAACUAACAACAUUUCACACAUUUCAUGAUGACAUAUAUAGAGUAGAAUGGAGCACAAAGGUGAAGCCUUUCUUACCACUAGCUGCAUGGUGAUCUAUAGACCAGCCAUUCAUCUUCUCCAAACAUUCCUAAGAUUGAUGGAUAACGAAAUCCGGGACCUAGAUAUAAAUCAGGAACAAAAAGAAACGUACUUAAGUAUUCAAAAAAUAUGUACUGCAUAAUAACUAUUUUCCAAAGCUUUAUACGGAUAUCCAAAAUGCUACUUGUAUUUUACAAGCAAAAUCCAUAUGAACAGUAAUCUGCAUAAAUAUGCUUUUAUUUUCAGAUUAGGAGACAGACUUUUCCUUCACGGUUAAGUAUCGGUUGUUCUCUGUACACCAAGAAAAUCAGCUUCUAAAACUUAUCUGUCUUUCUAUCUCUCUCCAUAUUAGUU